GAUUCACCACUUCAACAUUGUUCGGCUUCUAGGGUUUUGCUCUGAAGGAAACAGACGUGCUCUUAUUUACGAGUUUAUGCCCAACGGAUCACUUGAAAAAUUCAUCUUCUCAAAGACAAAUAGCUCAAGUCAUCGUCCAUUGAGUUGGGAGAAGCUGAGGAAGAUUGCAUUUGGCGUUGCCCGUGGAGUAGAGUACUUGCACCAAGGGUGCAGCCAAAGGAUCCUGCACUUCGAUAUCAAGCCUCACAAUAUAUUAUUAGACCAUAAUUUUCAACCGAAGAUUUUAGAUUUUGGACUGGCUAAGUUGUGCUCGAAGGACAUAAGCAUUGUAUCUAUGACAGCUGCCAGAGGCACUUCUGGCUACAUUGCACCUGAACUUUUCUCCAGGAAUUUUGGUGAGAUCUCAUACAAGUCUGAUGUUUACAGUUAUGGAAUGAUGCUGUUAGAGAUGGUCGGAUGCAGAAAAAAUAACGAUCCUGCGGUUGAAAUUCAUAGCCAAAUAUAUUUCCCAGAGUGGAUUUACAAUAGAAUGAGGCAAGGACAAGAGCUCUGUUUCGAUUUUGAGGAAUAUGUGGAUGAGGGAAUUGCCAGAAAGCUUGCAAUUGUGGCACUUUGGUGCAUUCAAUGGAAUCCCACGGAGAGACCUUCCAUGCCAAUUGUAUUACAAAUGCUUGAAGCUGAUUUACAAAGCUUGGAGAUCCCUCCAAUGCCCUUUGUUUCUGCUGAUGUUGAGGCAGGUGCAAUCAAUUGAUCUAGAUAGCAGAAGAUUACAAUUAAAAAGGGAUAUUGUUAAUUUGUUUCCAAUUUUCCCCGAUUAUAAGCUAAAUUAUUUAGUCCUUGUUAUUGGAACGCUUGAAAACCACUAAAUUGAGUUUUUGUUUGACUGUGGUUGUUUUAUUUAUCGCUUAAAAGCUUUGAUGUGUUCGAAUGAUACAACAUUAAUACAACUAUGGAUGAACUUUAGUCUAUUUUUAAACACAUCAUUGACAAAAAAUUAAGUAUAACUAUCGCUGAAAGAGCAUUCCUUUAUUGAUAGGCUUAUAGUUCCCAAAGAGGGUAGUUGGCAGAAACUCCUUGAGCUAGGUUGCUUUAGAAAAGGCUCGCAGGAUCGAGUAUUUAUAGAACGGAUGUGAUGUGUGCAGUCUUCAUUUCAACAUUUAAGUCUCACAACAUCCUGCUAGAUCCUAAUUCCUUCCCCAAGGUCUCAGAGUUCGGCCCUUGCAAAAUUUCAUCCCAAGGAAAAUGAUUUUGCUCCCAUCAGCGCCACAGGAGGAACAACAUAUAGGUUAAAAUAUUACCUGAGCUAUGACUAAGGCGCUGAUCGCUCCUCUGUGACAAAAAGUUUUGAAAAUUUUAGAAGGGAGUAUUGACGAUUUGCAAAUGCCUCCAAAACCUUUCUCAUCUUCUUCUCGACAUAUAUUUGGAAGAGAGAUUGAAUCAGAUUCUUCAACAGAGUUGUUAAUGUCUGAAUCAGUGAAGGAAUGAUCUUUCGGUGAUAUUUAGGUUUAAUUUUGCCAAUGAUGAAUGUAAAAUGAAUAAAUGAAUAACGUGCAGUUAAUGACAAAUGUUCUUCUUCUUCUCAUUGCUUUAUCUCGAAUUGGAGCCUAAGGCACACACGUUUUGCGAGUGAUAGAUAAUUUAGUUGUUGAAAUCUUUUGAGUUAAUACAACAAGUUUCAGAUUUGAAUAUGUCCAUAUGGGUGGCAAAAGAAUUUAACUAGAGGUGUGCUAAGCUUAACUUAAAACUCUGAGGUGGCCACUUGGGAUUGUAGCCCAGUGGUGAACCAUUGCCCUUAAAGUUAAGUAUGACUAUGAGGGCAAUAGUUUAAGUCCCCACGGACUCAAAAACUCCCUCAAUAUUAAGCAUAAUUGUGUGGAGAUUACUUAUAACAUAUUUCUCCCUUGCAAAAUGUGAGUGGAGUAGAGACAUCCCUCCCCUGUGAGGGGUAUUUGGCUAGACAUGUACUUCAUAGAAUAAAAAAUGUAAUAAUGUAAGUCCCAGGUAUAUAAUGACCUGCUAUCAUAGCAGUUGUAAAUAUCUUUAUGACUUGGCUGGGCUUGUACUUCAUAGAAUGAAAAAUGUAAUAAUAUAAGUCCCAGGUAUAUAAUAGUUAAAAAUGAUGAGUUUGUUUGUUUACUAAGAAAAUGAAAGGAAAAAUCAGAGAAACAGAGAAGAGAACUUGUAUUUUAUUCAUUGUAUAUUUCGAUUAGUUACACACGUUUAUAUACUAUGAUCUGGAAUCUUCUUCAUUCUGUUUAGACGUGCUAGAUUAGCUGAGCUAGUAACUGAAACUAACUUGCCACAUAAGCAGCCACGUCAGCAUGUAUAACAGACUCUGUUUAACUAACAAUAUUAAUCAGCAUGUGAUUAAUUAAUUAUCUUAACAAUAAUGACAUGCUAUCAUAGCAGUUGUAAAUAUCUCAAUGACCUGGUUGGGCUUGUACUUCAUAGAAUAAAAAAUGUAAUAAUAUAAGUCUCAGGUAUAUAAUGACCUGCUGUCAUAGCAGUUGUAAAUAUCUCUAUGACCUGCUAUCAUAGCAAUUGUAAAUAUCUCUGUGUAAUACAGUAACCUGAUCUUUAAUCAGUUCAAAAAAAAAACUCUGAGGUGUAAAUUUUCUUCAUUAUUUUACCCCCACAUUGAAAAGUAAUCACAAAAAAUCAGGUCAAUGGCUUCAUUUAGCUUAUUCUUUAUUAUUGUUUUAUGCAAAUGUCAUGGAGGACUACUCUCUUGUGGGGUUGCCAUUGACUUAAAUAAAAUGCUUUUAAGCCAUACAAAAAUGAAUGGCUAUCUUUAAUAUUACACUAAAAAACAUCUCUCUUUCUCUGUAAAUCCAUGUCACUUUUUCUGAGUUCAAUAAUCUUCUUCCUUCUCUUCCUUACACAGAAGCCAAAACUUCAUAAGGAAACAACGAUACAAAUAUUUAUGAACGUUGUCAACCAACAAAAUGAAACAUACCAUAUCAGAUUCCCCCUUUAGAAUCAAAUUUAAAUGAUUAAGAUUGCUUAUGAUAACACAUACCCUACUAAGUUUAUUUAAUAAAUGAUUACAAUUUACACACGCACUCUUUACAUUAUUAUACCCUUUAUUUGAACAACUAAAUGUACUUUAUAAUAACUACUAAUAUAACAUUGAAACAAAAACAAAUGUAAUAAAUAAAAUUAUCAUAUAUUUUAUAUAUCAAAGCAUGUUGUGUGUUCUCAUAAAAAAAAUGAAUUACUGUCUUCGAGUUUGUGGUGAGAAAUUAAAGUAGCGAGCGAAAGAUGUUGACUGGAUUGUUGCAUGCGUGGAAAUUGUUACAAAAUUUUUGUCUCAAUUUGAAGGUUUACUAAGAAAUUUCAGGUCAAGCUAGGGUCAUCAUCACCGACGCAAACUUGCAAUCAAAACGUUUACUAAGAGUUGACUGACUUGUAAGAGUGUCCGGUGUCCCCUCUCGCAUGGAUGCUAAAAGUCUUGCGCUCAAACAAAUUCAAUUAAUAUGCUCUUUUAAACCUUUUCAAUUUCCCCACCUUUGUUUAUUAUUAUUUUUAAAAUAAGAUAAUACUACUUUUGAACGAUUAAUUAUUGCUAUAUCAUCUUCAGCUAGUAGAAUCAGAUAGUUGAACGCUAUAAUAAAUUUACUAUAUGCAUGUGCUCCGUUGUUAAGUGAUGAUGUAAAUACGUAUCCAAAACUUUGAAAAUGCAACCUUCUGUUUAAUUUACUGAAAUUCAUUGUAUCUUGGGAUUGCAUUAACAAUGAGUGGGGAAGAAUCAUCAAUUCUCCCAACUCUUCUGUUUUGUCUAUUGAUCUAUCUACUCACCACUGAAAUUGAAGCAAGAGAAGUACUUCCACAAAUCUGUUCUUCUUCUUGUGGAGAUAUCAAAAACAUAAGUUACCCUUUUCGCCUAAAGGGAGAUCCAUCGGGAUGCGGUUAUCCUGAGUUCGAACUGUCUUGCCAGAGCAACCAAACCAUCCUAGAAUUUUUCAAUUCUAUAAAGUACUAUGUAAAGAGAAUUUCCUAUGACAAAAGCAAAAUCAGUGUUGUCGAUGUUAACUUAGCCAAUGGAAGCUGCAGCCUUUCACACACACCUUUUCCCAGAGAAAUCUUUCUCGACCGUUACGAUGGUCGCUAUUUUGAUGAUACCGAUCGGGUUUAUUCACUUGAUUAUAAUAAAUACCUGUAUGCCUAUUUCGUGAAUUGCUUGAGGAUCUCAUUGAUCAGGCUUUUGUAAAAGUUCCAUGUUUGAGUGGAGGAAAUCAGUCAAAUUUUUAUGUUAAUUACCAUGGCUCCUAUGUAUCGGACUUUUCAGAGUCAUGCUCGUUCGUUUCAAUGGUUCUUGUACAUAAUGGGAAUGUAGAAAAUCCUUCUUAUGAAGCCCUCCGAGAAUUGCUGGUGACAGGAUUCGAUCUUAGAUGGUCAGUUGGAUGUAGGAAUUGUUUUACAGCCCGUAGAGGAUACAUUAUUACUAUUAUAGCGGGAUAUUUUGAUUGCUUCCAUUAUAGCUCAAUUACAAACGGUAAGCUUAUGCUUAUAUGUGCAUACAAAUAAAUGGAGACCUUUUAUUUAUUAUUUUCAAUCUUAAUCUUUUAUGUAUUUAAGAAUUUGCGAACCAUCUCUAAAAGAGUAUGUUUACCAGUAUGACCCUUAAUCUCUGUUUCUUUUGAACUUCUGCAGUCUUUGCUGCAUGCCACGCCGCACCGGGAGUAUUCAAAAAAUUUACCUGCUACCAAGAACUUUUGACACGUAAUAAGCCUAUGCUUACAUAUUUUAAAUUCUGCGAUUGUGUUUCUUGGUGUUAAAUUGAUGGCAUCAUGUAAUUUGUUUAUUUAUUUUCCAAUCUUGUGCUAAAUAACUUUUUCUAAAUCAUCUCUGUGUAUGUAUUUAUAAAGCCUAAUCUUUUUUCCUCGGCUUGCAGUUUCCUACAAACUCCCGCCACUUUUCGACAGCCUCAAAUUGUCACUGUUAGGUAUGGUUUCCUGGCUGGAAUUCCUGUUCCUGUUAUUUCGAAUUCAGCUACUUACCUAGAAUUAAACUUUCUUGUUUCCAGCGGUGCAUUCGUGUAUGUUACAAUUACUAGGUUCAUACUUGGUUCAACAGUUUUACUUGUGUUCCUUAUCCACAAAUACAGAACAACAUUGAAAACAAUUGAUAAUAUUGAGAAAUUUAUGCGCAACCAGCAAUCAUGGAUGCCUAAAAGGUACUCUUACCCUGAGAUAAUUGCCAUGACAAACCACUUCGCUCAUAAAUUAGGCCAAGGUGGCUUUGGUUCAGUUUAUGAAGGACAACUUCAUACCGGUCGCUUGAUUGCUGUUAAGAUGUUGGAGAACUCCAAGCUCAGUGCGGAGGAAUUCAUCAACGAAGUUUCAACAAUAGGUAGAAUUCACCACGUUAAUGUGGUCCAGUUAUUGAGGUUCUGUUCUGAGGGAUCCAAAUGUCCACGUGUCUACGAGUUUAUGCCUAAUGGAUCACUAGAUAGGCAUAUCUUUCCUAAGGAAAGUAGAGGCCAAUCUUUUAGUUAGGAGAAACUCCACGAAGUUGCUUUAGGAACUGCUCGUGGGAUCGAGUAUUUACACAACGGAUGUGAUGUGUGCAUUCUGCAUUUUGACAUUAAGCCUCACAACAUCCUGCUAGAUCAUAAUUUCAUCCCAAAGGUCUCAGAUUUCGGCCCUGCAAAGUUUCAUCCCAAGGAAAAUGAUUUUGUGUCCAUCAGUGCCACAAGAGGAACCAUAUGAUACAUAGCACCUGAGCUGAUUUCAAGGAAUUUUGGAAUUGUUUCUUGCUGUUAAGGAAGCUCAUUGUGCUGAGCUUAUGAAGAAUAGAAAGGUGAAGAAGCCGUUAGUCUCAGCAAGUGAAGUUAGUUAAUCAUGCCAGCUCAGCAGUGCCAAGUCAUCAGAGUAAGUUAUGAAAUAACAAGUCAGGACAAGUUGUUAAAGUCUGUUAUUAAUAAAUCUUGUGUAUAUAACUAAUCUCGUGAGUAUAUAAGUUGUGAUUGAUUCAGUUGUAAAGUGAUUUGACAAAAGUCCAGAUUCAAUGAAAUAAAAUUUUUCUCUGCAACUUUUCUCUCAAAACAAACAGCUCAAGUUUUCUUUCAUGGUAUCAGAGCCACAAUGGCUAGUUCCAGUACAACUAAUCAAAAUCAUUCGAUUGUUCAUAAAACUCAAUCUACUCAAAUUUCGUUUACUUUUGCUACAACCGUCAAGCUUGAUCGAUCUAAUUUUCUUCUCUGGCGUAAGCAAGUUCUGACUUCAAUCAGAGGAAAUAGACUUGAAGGAUUUAUCUCAGAAAAUCAAAAUAUUCCAGAACAAUAUUUGUCUCAAGCUCGAACUGAUGGAUCUGUGGAGAGAACUGAGAAUCCAGCAUAUGUUAAUUGGAAAGCUCAGGAUCAGACUCUGCUUAGCUGGCUCUUUUCAACUAUAAGUGAAGGUAUUCUAAGCUCAGUUCUCAAUUAUGAUACUUCAUUUGAUGUCUGGAAAUCGAUUGAAAAGCAAUUUGGAGUCCAAUCUGAAGUAAAGGUAAUGCAACUUCGAUAUGAAUUGAAAAGAAUCAUUGUCGAUUGAAGAAUAUUGCUCAAAGAUGAAGAUACUUGCUGUUGAUGCGAGAUUCUGGUUACCCUCUCUACCUUGACCAGGAUCUCUCCUCAACCAACUCGACCACGAUCAAAAUAUCUCCUCGUAAGACUUCUUCUCUAGAGGCUCCUGCGUACACAGAAACAAGUCAGAGCAUGCCAGGUGUUUUCCCGGCGUAAACCCUCCGAUGCUCAAGUCAGAAAUGAAGGUUUCGUGUUCUUGGGAAAGUUAGCCACUGAUCUUAUGGCUUCUUUUUGGGUCUCAAUUAUUCAGAGCUCUCUUUAUCUUGAUUUCAAUGUCAAAAAAUCUAACACUUUUACCUUCGUUGGCUAUCUUUUUAUAGGCUUCUCUUGAGUUCAGACCUUCCCUCAAUCCACGCUCAUUACCUUCCCACCUCUCGGAAGUAGAUGCUCCGUUUCCGUAAUCGUGGGUGGUUGCAUGACCUUCGUGCCUUGAUUCUUGGGUUGGAGUGCACGUCUCACCAACUGUCGUUGACCGGGUUUCCUCGCCUCAACCCCUAGCAGGAAUGUCUUUAUGCUUUUAAUACGAGACCGGCCUCGCGGAUGGCGUAUUCGUGGUCGAGCAGAAUAUUCCUGCUCAUGUUCCCCAGCUAACAGACUCCUGCCAGAUAUACCUGCUCGUGAAACCCUGCUACUAAAUGUCUGCUCAUCACGGCUGGUCCUAUCGAAGUACAUCACCCAAACACCGGUCCCCUAGUUUCUGGUGUUGGGUAACAUAGUGAGCCGACAAUAGAAACUCAACAGUUCUGGCUCGCGCGGGAUAGGAAAAGGCUGCCAAGAGUCGUGUCGCAUUUAAUUGCGGAUGAGGUGAUGUGGCAGAAAUCUACCCUUCCGUUUGAAUUUCAAAUCGAUGGUUACGAAACUCUUGGGAUUUGUGCCGUUAAAUGCUGGCAGCCCAAGAGUUUGUUCCUCAUUAGGAAAACCCGAAACCCCCAAAAGAGAAACUCGUCAUUUACUCACUUCCUGUCUCUCCGGCGGAUGAGUAUCGGCAUAAAAGCUUCCAUCCCUAUCUUUCAUCCUUGUCUCUCUCCGACUGAGCCACAACUUCAGGUAUUAUUUCUACUUCCUCGGUCAUGGAUAGUUGUAGACAAUUUCUUUUCUCUCUGUUUUGUUUGGGUAGUGUUUGGUGAUAUUGUUCUAGUUAUAGUUUAGGGAAUGUCAAAAGGUAAAGAGAAGGUCAUUGAGAUUGACGACGAGGAGUUAGACUUCUUACCUAGUCUGCUCGCCGAUCCUGCCUUUGACCCCGGGAUCCCCUUAGAACCCAUUAGAUCUAGUGUUGGGACUAGUGCUAGGAGGAUGUUCCCCUAAAUAACCUCCUCAAGCAACAAUAAUGGCGACGAGGGAUUUUCUGGUUCGGAAGACACCCUGAGUGAGGAUCAGGGAGAUGAUUAUGGUGAAAUGUCUUCACCAGGAACAUCGCGACCAGAUAGGAGGGUCACAGUAGGAGGUAGAGCUCUAUCAGAGCAUUACGCUAUUGAUUUCAUCACAUGCACGACCACAGUAGAUGAGCUCACUAACCUCCGGGUUAGGUAUGGAAUUCCUGAUGAUAUUUCUCUUAAGAUCCUAGGAAAGAAAGAUACUCCUAGUCGGCCUCCUACGGGAUAUGUUACUCUAUUUCUGGAGGGUUUUAAACUUGGGCUGAGGUACCCCCUGCAACCCUAUUUUGCCCGAAUACUUAAUGGGUUAAAUUUAGCUCCUGGUCAGCUGAAUCCUAACGGGUGGAGAGUACUCUCUGGUCUGUUCAUAUUAUGGGAUAGAUGUUGCCAAAACGAGCCCACAGUUGAUGAGGUGAAGCACUUGUAUCAGCUAAAGAGUAGUCCCAAAGAUGCCGGCUGGUAUUACUUCCAAUCAAGUGCUAAGACCAGGAAACCCAUAACUGAUCUUCCAACUGGUGGUGGUGGGAAUUGGAAGAAAAAAUUCUUUUUUACUGGGGGUCCCUGGGGUCAAGUUGCACAGAUUGACGAGAAGGUUUUCGCGUCCCACCCCGUUUCGUGGUCCCAGGUUACCUGCUCGCUUUAGAUGUUUUUUCUCCAUAGUUGUUCUCACUUUGCUGAUUUGUCUCUAAUCCAAUAUCUGUUUGCAUUGCAGGUUCUUGGGGUGUGCACUACCCGCUUAAACCUUAGCAGCUCAAGCGGGUCGAGGCUUUACUGGUCAAUUCCUGUUCGAACCGAGAGCUGCUAACUACUUACAACUUGGUCGAAUCUGGUUUGGUAUCCACCGGCCAUAAGAUAGAGGAUGCUGUGAUCGGGGCUCUGAAUCGGAAACGUCCUCGACCUCAUACUGCCAAGCGAGACCAGAGUAAAGAUGCUCCCACUGCGAAGCGAGUGAACAUUGUACAGCAGGUUCCCCCCUUGAAGACUCUAUCACCUUCUCCUGCCAAAGCCGGGGAGACCAGUGGAGUAGCCACUGACCCUGCUUCCUCUUCUCCACCAGCUGGGCCGAGAUCUCGCUUAUCUGACCAUCGAGCAGAGCAUCUAGUCUCCUACAUCAGUGAGUUUUCUCGGCUCAUGAGCAAGAAGGACUUGGAGGACUUCGACGGCAGUACUCUGGGUGAGCUGGUGGGAGCUAUGCAGUAUAACGCUUUUCACCUCGGCUGCAUGGCCACCUACUAUAAGGCGAAGGUCGGUCGCUAUGACCGGAAGAUGAAGGAGGACAUUCAAUUAGUCAAGACCAAAGCUGAUGCUGUCGAGAAAAGAGCAGGAGACCUGAAUCUCGAGAAUUUGAAGCUGAUAGAGUGAGAAUCUCUCGGUCAAGCAAAGGCCAUUACUUUUGAGGAAGAGCUGACUACGGUCAAAGAGGAUCUGCAAAGGCAGAAGGCUAUGUACGAGGCUCAGCUCGAAUCUCUCCGGGAUGCCCACCAGGUUCAGGUCGAGAACCUAGAGAAGGAAGCUGACAACCAGUAUGACCAGGGGCUUCGGCACUCCUAUCGCUGCAUCAUGGCUGUCUUAGGGAACCAGCACCCUGAUCUAAAGAUGGAUGAGCUUGCUGCUGAUGUUGCUCAAUACAUCGACGAGGAGGCAACAAAAGAGGAUGUCGAUGAGGUGGAGCCAAAUGCGGCUGAUGAAGGAAACUCUCCUCCUCGUGCAGUCCCUGCUGAUGUUGCUGAGGCGAGUACCUCCCGGGUGUAACUGGCGAUACUCCCCUGCACCUGAGGUGGACCAGACAAUCGAGACUGCCCAGCUUACUGACCCGCUGUCCUCUUGAAUGUAUCUUGCAUUGUAGUUACUUUUUUAGAACACUGUAUGUUAAGAAUAGCAGCUUUUAUUGGUAAAUCAAUAAGAAUGUUCUUAUUUGUUUUCUUUGCCUCGAGCUCUUGGCAAAUUAUUUUAUUUUUUGGUAAAUUAUUUUUAUUCGUUAAAAUUGAUCAAUUAAAAGUUCGGCUUCCUGUUGCCCUACGUUUAAGAGUCUGCUCGCCUUAGCCUGGUCGAGCCGAUUCUGGCACACUUGACUUUUGGUCUCGCCAUAAAAUAAGCUUUGAGACUUAGUCUUUGCGUGCCUUAGAAAAUUUUCAAUACUUGGGAGUAUGCUCGCCUUCGCUUGGUCAAGUAGAUCCUGACACGCUUAGCUUCUGGUCUCGCCCUAAAACAGGCUUUGAGACUUAGUGAGCCUUUGCAUGCCCUUGAAAUUUUUCAAUGAUUAGGAUUCUGCUCACCUUCGAUUGGUCGAGCAGAUCCUGGCACGCUUGGCUUCUGGUCUCGCCAUAAAACAGGUUUUUAGACUUAGCCUUUGCCUGCCUUAGAAAAGUUUUUCAAUGAUUGGGAUUCUGCUCGUCUUCGCUUGGUCGAGUAGAUCCUGGCACGCUUGGCUUCUGGUCACGCCAUAAAACAGGCUUUGAGACUUGGUGAGCCUUCGCAUGCCUUAGAAAUUUUUCGAUGCUUGGGAUUCUGCUCGCUUUCGCUUGGUUGAGUAGAUCCUGGCAUGCUUGGCUUCUGGUCUCGCCAUAAAAUAGGCUUUGAGACUUAGCCUUUGUCUGCCUUAGAAAUUUUUCGAUGCUUGGGAUUCUGCUCGCUUUCACUUGGUCGAGCAGAUCCUAGCAAGCUCGGCUUCUAUUCUCGCCAUAAAACAGGCUUUGAGACUUGGUGAGCCUUCUCAUGGCUUAGAAAUUUUUCGAUGCUUGAAAUUCUGCUCGCCUUCGCUUGGUCGAGCAGAUCCUGGCACGCUUGGCUUCUGGUCUCGCUAUAAAACAAGCUUUGAGACUUGGUGAGCCUUUGCAUGCCCUAGAAAUUUUUCGAUGCUUGGGAUUUUGCUCGCCUUGGCUUGGUCGAGCAGAUCUUGGCACUCUUGGCUUCUGGUCUCGCCAUAAAACAUGCUUUGUGACUUGGUGAGCCUUUGCAUGCCUUAGAAGUUUUUUGCACCGUUACAAGUGAAUGAAAUUCCUCGACGUUUCAUUAAUCGCUGAAUUCAACUUACAUAAGAAUGCAUAGCAACGAGAACAAAUUGAAAUAAUUUUAAAACAUGAUCAAGUCUGACUGGAAAUAUUUCCUAAGGUGCGCUGCGUUCCAUGGGCAUUUCACCUCGUGGCCAUCCGUGCGAACAAGCUUGUAAGCUCCGGGUCCAACUAUCUGCUUGACCCUAUAUGGCCCCUUCCAAUUCUGUCCAAGCACUCCUUGAGUCGAGUCUUUCAUGUUAUGAUUCACUCUCCUUAACACCCAAUCUCCGACCUUGAACUGUCGUACAUUCACCUUCUGGUUGUAAUACCGAGCAACCCUCUGCUGGUAGACGGUUGGUCGCUUUGAUGCUUGCUCCCUCUUCUCAGUUAGCAAAUCCAGGUUUAGGCACAUACGCUCGUUGUUCUCCUGCUCAUCGAAAUGAUAUGUCCGGUGCGUGGUCGUCCCUAUCUCGACUGGUACAACCGCUUCAUGUCCGAAGGCCAAGGCGAAUGGAGUUUCCCCAGUUGCUGUUUUGUGGGUUGUCCUGUAUGCCCAUAAUACACCUGAUAGCUCAUCAACCCAUGCACCCUUUUUUGUUCCAAGCCUGGUUUUUAAAAGCCUCUUGAUCGUCUUGUUGGCUGCUUCUACUUGUCCGUUAGACUGAGGAUGAGCAUGCGAGCAAUACUUCAAUUCUAUCCCGAGGUUCUGGCAGAAGUCCCUGAAGUUCUGGUUAUCAAACUGCCUACCAUUAUCUGUUAUAAAAGCAUAAGGGAUCUCGUACCGACAGACCAGGUUUCUCCAUACGAAGUCAGUUGUCUUUUUCUCUGUGAUCCUACUAAGGGCUUCUACCUCUAUCAACUUCGUGAAAUAGUCUAUUGCUACUAUUGCAUGUGUUGCUGCUCCUCGUCCUUUUGGCAAUGGCCCAAUCAAAUCAAUUCCCCAUUGAGCAAAUGGCCAUAGGGAGGCCAUAGAAGUGAGCUUCUCCUGCGCAUCCUGGUGCAUUGUCGGCCAAAAAUAUCCCUGCCUUAGAACCUUGUAGGCAAGGGAUCUCGCACCAGAAUGGUUCCCGCAAACUCCUUCAUGUACUUCUCUCAGCACGUAAUCUGCGUCGUACUCGUCUAAACACCGAAGGAACGGCAGGGUAUAUCCCCUCCGAUAUAAUACCCCGUCAAUCAUUGUGUACCUCGACGCUUGGGCUCUAGUCUUCCGAACUUGUAACUUAUCUGGUGGCAGUAUUCCAUUCUGGAUGUACGAGAUUAUCGGGUCCAUCCACGAGCACUUCUGUUCUAUCUGCAGCACCCCCAAAUUCUGCUCGAUGCUAGGGCUGGACUUCACCUCCAAAUGGAUUGACUUAGGCAUUUUCGGAUCUGCUACCACUGCCAUCCUGGCCAGAAUGUCUGCUCGACUAUUCUCCUUCAUUGGGAUUUAUAUCACCUCAACCGCUUCAAACUUCCCGAUCAUCUGCUUGACUUUCUUCAAGUACUGUUCCAUUUUCCCAUCUCUCGGCUGAAAUCUUUCACUGACAUGAUUUACAACUAGUUAGGAAUCAGUUCGGAUCUUCACCCUAUCCGCUUUUACCGCCUUAGCCAAUUCCAAACCUGCUAUUAGGGCUUCAUAUUCUGCUUGGUUAUUUGUGGCUGUGAACUCCAACUUUAUAGCAUAAGAGAUCUCCUCCCCUUCUGGGCCUUCCAAGACAAUCCCUGCUCCAGACCCCUACUCCCCUGAUGACCCAUCCACAGAUACCUGCUAUACUCGAGCUUCGUUUCUGGCUGUAGCAGUAUCCAGCUCCUCGAAACAUACUUCGGGCUCCGCGAAUUCUGCUACGAAAUCGGCCAUUGCCUGGGCCUUUAUUGCUGCUUGGGGCUUGUAACUUAUAUCGAACUCACUCAACUCUAUAGCCCAUUUUACUAGCCGACCAGAGGCAUCCGGCUUGUGUAGAGUUUGCCGUAACGGUUGGUUUGUGAUUACCGAGAUAGGGAAUGCUUGAAAGUAUGGCCUCAGCUUCCGAGCAGCAACCACAAGAGCCAGUGCCCAUUUUUCUAGCGGCGGAUAUCUGGUCUCAACAUCUAGCAGGGCCUUGCUCGUGUAAUAUAUUGGGUAUUGAACCCCUUCUUCUUCUCUCACCAGCACAGAACUUGUGGCAUGAUCCGAUACUGCCAAAUAUAGGAAUAACACGUCCUCAUCUCGUGGCGUGGACAACAAAGGAGCUUGCUGCAAAUACUGCUUCAAAUUCUGGAAAGCUUUUUCACAUUCAGGGGUCCACUCUGUUUUCUUUCCUCUCCUUAUCACUUGAAAGAAUGGCUGGCACUUAUCUGUUGCCUUGGAUAUGAAUCGGCUCAAUGCCGCCAAUCUCCCCGUAAGGCUCUGCGUCUCCUUUAGGUUACGAGGAGAUCUCAUCUGCACGAUUGCCUGAAUCUUCUCGGGAUUCGCUUCGAUCCCCCGAUGACUUACCAUGAACCCGAGAAAUUUGCCCGACUCGACCCCAAAAGCACACUUCUCCGGGUUGAGUUUCAUCUUAUACUUCUUCAAAAGUCCAAAUGUCUCAUCGAGGUGCUUGACAUGUUCCUUUGGGAUUUUUGACUUGGUUAUCAUGUCGUCCACAUACACCUCCAUUGUUCUCUCUAUCAGUGGUUUAAAGAUUUUGUUCACCAGCCUCUGGUACGUGGCCCCCGCAUUUUUAAGACCGAAUGGCAUUACCCUGUAACAGAACAAACCCUGGUUAGUAAUAAAUGUCGUGCUCUCCUCAUCCUGCUCGAACAUGGGGAUUUGGUUGUAUCCCGAAAAUGCUACCAUGAAUUUGAGCAGGCCAUGAUCGGCUGUUGAGUCUACCAGCUGGUCGAUCUUAGGUAAGGGAAAGCUGUCUUUCGGGCACGCCUUAUUGAGGUCUGUGAAAUCUACACACAUCCUCCAUUUGCCAUUAGCCUUUUUUUACUAACACCACAUUCGAUAUCCACUCAGGAUAGUUGACUUCCCGAAUGAACCCUGCCUUCAAGAGUUUCUCCACCUCGCCGUUUAUAGCCUCAUACCUCUCCUGGUUGAAGCACCUUCGUUUCUGCCUUACUGCCGAGCACUCUUUUUUUAUUGCCAACCUAUGGCAUGCGGCCUCAGGGUCGAUUCCCGGCAUGUCCUCAUGUGUCCAAGCAAACACAUCUGCAUGAGCUCGUAAGCAAUGCACCAGCUCUUGCUUCUGCUCAUCUUUAAGUUUUGACCCGAUUCGGACUAUUUUUCCUGGAUCAUCUUGCUGCAAGCUUACUGUCUCUAGUUCCUCUACAGGCUCAUGUCUGGCAUUCUUGGCCUCUACUCGAGUAUCAAGAGAUGUAAUCUGCAUUGCUUCCCUUGCUGCUGUGGAGUAACAGCUUCGGGCAAUUCUUUGGUCUCAUUCACCCGAUACUUGAGAGCUAGAUAAUGGUUGGAAAGUAUCGCUUUACUCAUGCUCAGAAAGGGGCGGCUUAGAAUCAUCUGAUAAGGACCCUCUUCAUCAACCACUACAAAAUCCAGUAUCAUGGUCUUUUCUGUCGGGGAGCUGCCAAUUGUGAUGGGCAGUUCGACCACGCCUAGAGGAACCAGCUUUCCUCCCCCAAAUCCCUUCAAGGAGGUAUUGGUAUGCUCUAAUCUCAAGUCUGCUAUUCCCAUCUCCUCCAUAGUUGACUUGAACAAAACAUCAACCGAGCUUCCUGUGUCAACCAGAAUCCGGUCAAACUUCUUGCUAGCAGCGGUGGCCUUGAUGACUAAGGCAUCCUCGUGUGGAUAUAGAAUCACUUCAUCAUCAUCAUCUGUCCACAUGAUUGGAACUUGCCUGACUCUUACUCGUUUGGCUGCUGGGGUGUUGAAGAAUACCUCUUUGCUAGUCAUUGCAUAUCUAGCAUAGUUCUUCCUCGACCUGUUGGAAUCUCCUGCCAACGUCGGGCCCCCAGCAAUCACUCUUACUAUAGGCUGCUCGUGGCUCAAGUUUCUAUCACUCUGCUCCCCUUCACAUGUCGAGGCCACCAUCGGGAAAGUCCUAUCUAUAAACUCGUCCAGGUAUCGAUUUCUCACCAAAUCGUCAACCUAGGUCUUGAAAUCUCUACAUUCUGUUGUGGUAUGGCCAUGAGUGCUAUGGAACUUGCAAUAGCGUCCCCUAUCCCUUAUGCUGGGUAGCUUUGUUAUUGGGGUAGGGAGGUAGAGUAAUCUCUGGUCUUUUAUGGCCUCGUACACCUCGUCCAGGGGCAUCUUCAAGGAAGUAUACAGUCCAUAGUCCUGGUUCUGGUCGAUCAUGUGCACUGCCCUUUCUCUGUUUGUGCCGUUCUGAACUGGAGGAGGUGGCAACGCUUCUGGUCUGCUCCCUCUACCACCAUAGGGGUGUGGAUGAGGAUGACCAUAUGCCGAGUCAUGCCUCCUCUAAGGCUCCCUAGCUGGUGAACGAGGAGGUUGCGCCCUGCUGCGCUGAUACUGUGGUGGUCUCUGAUGAGGCUGGUAAGCGGUGACCUGACCUCCUGAACCACUACCCGAGGCAUGGUGGUCCCUCCUCUUGAUCGGCCCAUUUCCUAGUAAGGCUCUCUUCUCUUUCCUUCUCAACCCUUCUAGCUGGUCUGUCUUAAUCCGUGCUGCCUUUUUCUCCUCAAUCUCUAUAUCCCUCUUAGCCUGCUCGUAAGCGGCUGCAUACGUCUGAAUGACUGAGCUCCUCAAAUUGUACCACAGCCUUCCUAUCUUCACCCCUUCUUUCAAUCCCCUUAAUGCCUGAGGAUGGUUGAAGGCUCCCAAGUCGAGGACUGCGCGAUAAAACCUCUUGAUGAAUUCCCGAAGGGUUUCUUCCUCUCCUGCUUCAUGCUUUUCAACUCCAUCAUGUCAUCUUCCGGUGCCAUUGCCCCACGAAACUGCUCUGUAAAUUCCUGGCACAUCUGUUCGAAGGAUUUAACGCUUCCUUGAGGAAGUUUUCGGUACCACUCACGUGCUCAUCCCUCCAGAGACAGCAGGAACACCCUGCAUCUUUGAGCUUGGGAUAAUCCUUGCACCUCAGUUAUGUCGUUAAAGCACUCUAUGUGCACCAACGGAUCGGUUCGCCCCGAGUACCUGAGGUGUGGGAGGCGAAAAUCCCUUGGAAUGAUUGCUCUCAUGAUCUCUGCCGAGAGCGGGGAUUCUCCGUCCAGCAUUAUCCUCCAACCAGGUGCUCUGCUCCUUCCUUGCAUGUCAUCAAUUACCUGCGCUAAUCUGUGCACUUCUUCCUCCAGCUGUACUGCACGACCAGGGUCACGUGCUGCAACUUAAUCCCACUCUUGCUCUACAUCAUAUAAGUGUUGCCUGAGCUCUGUUUCCUCUGCAUUCGCCACCCCGUCAUCAUUAUCAAAAAUUUGCCUUCCUGGGGAUUGGUCUUCUCCUCUAUGGACUUAUCCCCAUAAAGAUAAGUUACCUCCCUCACCACCAAAUCUUCUGGUGGUCCGACUUCUCAUCAUAUCAUCGUGCCCUGGUGCCAUUCCGCUACUUCUCACCAUUUCCUCAUGGAUUCCCCUUCGUUCACUCCUCAGCUCAUGUAGGAUGGUUGUCAAGGUCUUCAUCUGCUUUUUCAUCUGUUCCAUCCGGUCGUACAUGGCUUUUUCCCGUGCUUCAUUGGCUAUCUUCCUUAACGUCACGGAUUUGUUAAGCCUCAUAUCACCUCCUUGGGCACUACUUCCUCCUACAUUCAUUGUUCAUUCACUUGCUUUAUUCUUCUUCUUUCUGUCAACAGAAGCUUUUUGUUCAGCUCCCCACGGACGGCGCCAAAAUAUUGAUGCGAGAUUCUGGUUACCCUCUCUACCUCGACCAGGAUCUCUCCUCAACCAACUCGACCACGAUCAGAAUAUCUCCUCGUAAGACUUCUUCUCUAAAGGCUCCUGCGUACACAGAAACAAGUCAGAGCACGUCGGGUGUUUUUCCGGCGUAAACCCUCUGACACUCAAGUCAGAAAUGAAGGUUUCGUGUUCCUGGGAAAGUUAGCCACUGAUCUUAUGGCUUCUUUUUGGGUCUCAAUUAUUCAGAGCUCUCUUUAUCUUGAUUUCAAUUUAAAAAAAUCUAACCCUUUUACCUUCGUUGGCUAUCUUUUUAUAGGCUUCUCUUGAGUUCAGACCUUCUCUCAAUCCACGCCCAUUACCUUCUCACCUCUUGGAAGUGGAUGCUCUAUUUCCGUAAUUGUGGGUGGUUGCAUGGCUUUCGUGCCUUGAUUCUCGGGUUGGAUUGCACGUCUCGCCAACUGUCGUUGACCGAGUUUCCUCGCCUCAACCCCUAGCAGGAAUGGCUUUAUGCUUCUAAUAGGAGACCGGCCUCGCGGAUGGCGUAUUCGUGGUCGAGCAGAAUAUUCCUGCUUCUGUGCCCCUGCUAACAGACUCCUGCCAGAUAUACCUGCUCGUGAAACCCUACUACCAGAUGUCUGCUCAUCACAGCUGGUCUUGUCGAAGUACAUCCCCCAAACACUUGCUAAUAAGCUUGCCUGUGCUGGUGAUAAUAUAACUGAAAAAGAUCUGCUAAUAAGAACUCUUAAUGGAUUAGGAUCUGGCUGUCUGGAUUUAGCUUCAAUAAUUACAGCAAAUAAAAUGAAUUAUGAUGAUGCAUAUGCACUUUUGUUGACUCAUGAGGCUAGAUUGGAACAAAAUCAGAAUUCUUAGAAUUCUCAAGCCAUGUUUAAUGCUAAUUACAGUAUGAUGAAUGCAAACUAUUCACAUAUAAGGGGAAUUCCUAGGAGAAAUACUUAUGGUAAUGAAUCUUUUGGUCAAUUUGGAGGAAGAAAUCAAAAUUUUGGUCGAGACAUAUUCUUUACUUCUUAUCCUAGAGGUUUUCCAGCUGGUAGUAGUACUGCUGGUGGUUUUGGCAGAGGACAUGCUGCAAGCUUUGGAAGGAAUUAACAGUUUACAAAUCAUCUUAGGUCACCACAUGUGAGGAAUGUAUUUUUACCUGGAAUGAACUCAAGCAUUUCUACUGGUGAAUCUAAUGAGUCAAUACCUGUGUGUCAAAUAUGUCACAAACAAUGUCAUACUGCUGAUGCUCGCUGGUAUAGAUAUGGUGAUAAUUACUCUCAUUCUCCAAAACAAUUUGGUAGAGGAAAAAUGAUGGGACCUAAAGCAGCAUAUAUGGCUAAUUUUGAGCCAUUCUCAUACCACCAGUCAGCUAUUGAAGAUCCUUAUGAAUUGUCUGGUUUCAACUCCAGCUGUCAACCAGUACAUUACUCUUCUGUUUCUUCUUAUUCAUCAGAAGUAUUUACUCUGCCUGAAGCUUAUGUUGUAAAUCUGGAAGAUUCAUCAGAUGAAGGGUGGUAUCUGGAUAGUGGUGCCACACAUCACAUUACAAAUAACAUGGCAAACAUGCAUGUACGAGAAGAGUUCAAAGGUUUAGACCAGCUUACUAUUGGAAAUGGACAAAGUUUGACAAUUACUCAUAUUGGUGAUGCCUGCUUUAACUAUAAAUGUCUUCAUACUGCCUGCAAGCACACACCUAUAACACUUAAGGAUAUCUUAUUAGUUCCUUCAAUUACUAAGAACUUAAUAAGUAUAUUUAAGUUGACAACUGAUAAUAACCUUUCCAUUGAAUUUGUUGGCAAUGUGUGUUAUGUAAAGGAUUCACUGAAGGGACGAGUGCUUCUGUAAGGUCUUGCUGAAAAAGGAUUAUACAAGUUACUGUUAAAGUCAUCUCAGACAUCUCCCUCUUAUUUCUUGAGUCAAAUCUCUUCAAAUAAGCCUUUGUCUAUGCUAUCUACUUGUCAUCUUUACUUUCCUGUUACAACUGGUGCUCAAAAUAAUCACUCAACUUCUAUGUCUUGUUAUCAAACUGUUGUCUCUCAUUGUAAUGCAUCAGUUAAUAAAAUCAAUUUGUUUCAUAGAAGAUUUGGUCAUCUUCAUCAUGAUGUACUAAUACAUUUGCAUAAGAAUGAUAAAACUAUCAAUCUCUCUACCAAUUUUAUCAAACACUCUGCUCAGCAAAUAUGUGAGGCAUGUCAAAUGGGCAAGGUUCAUAAACUGCAUUUUUCUGUUACUGAAACCAAAACUUCUCACAUACUUGAACUCAUUCAUACUGAUCUGUGGGGACCCUCACUUAUACCUUCUAGAGCUGGUUAUAUCUAUUAUAUCAGCUUUGUUGAUGAUUUCAGCCGAUAUACUUGGAUUUACCCAUUAAAGUUGAAAUCUGAAGCCUUACAAAUUUUCAAAUUAUUCAUAUUGCAAGUUGAAAAAUAGUUUCAAUGCUCAAUUAAAAAGUUGCAAUCUGACUGGGGGGUAGAGUACCGAGCAUUUACUGAAUUCUUGAAUCAAAAUGGCAUUAUUUUCAGGCACUCAUGUCCCUAUACACAUCAUCAAAAUGGGGUAGUUGAGAGAAAGCAUAGGCAUGUAGUUGAAUUAGGUCUCACACUUUUAGCUCAAGCUAAGUUACCUUUACAAUUUUGGUAGGAAGCUUUCCAAACUGUUGUUUAUCAUAUUAACAGGUUGCCUUCUGCAACUCUGAAAUUUCUUACACCAUAUGAAAAGCUUUUCAGUCAUAAACCAUAUUACAAGAUGCUCAAAUGUUUUGGCUGUGCAUGCUAUCCUUAUUUGAGAGAUUACAACAAGCAUUAGUUUGUAUAUCAUUCUAGUAAAUGUAUUUUCAUAGGUUACAGCCCAUCUCAUAAAGGGUACAAGUGUUUACACCCAUCUGGUCAAACCUAUAUAGCUAGACAUGUUGUUUUUUAUGAGAAUUUGUUUCCUUACUCAUCAGAUUCUGCUUUCACUUCAAACUCAUCAAAUUCAUGUUCAAACAUACCAUUUACUCCUCAACAAGUGUAUCAUCUAUCCACUUUGUCAAUGUCUCCAAUAUCAGAUAACAGCAACUACUAUAAUCAUGAUUCUGCAAGACCUACCAGUGGUACUUCUUAUCACUCAGGUAAUUCUGCAUACAACAUUGAUCCUCACUUUUCAUUACAAACAGUUCAACCACAUACAGAGCCAGAGCCUUAUAUUUCUCCUCAUGAUCAAAUAUCACUAAACACUAUUCCAUCUACCUCAGCUCUAGAACAUACACAACAUAUUACUACACCAGUAAACACACAUUCCAUGAUCACUAGAAGCAAUGAUGGGAUUUUUAAACCAAAACUCUACAAUGUCACACUUAGGGUUGGCAGAAAAGCCAGGGCCGGCCCAGGCCCGCGUAGGCCCGGCCCGUGGCUUGAAAGUAUGGGUAAGGGCUCAUAAUUAAUAAAGCCCAUAACAUAUGGGCUCAGUCAAGGGCCUAAAUGAAAAGCCCGGGCUUUAUAAUAAAUAAUAUAUAUAUAUAUAUAUAUAUAUAUAUAUAUAUAUAUAUAUAUAUAUAUAUAUAUAUAUAUAUAUUGGUCAUCAUAUUUCUAAAGGAACAAUCACUCCAAUCGAGAGAUCUCUUUUGUUUGCUGAUAAAUUUCCUGAUAAAAUUCUUGACAAAACCCAAUUACAAAGAUUUCUUGGCAGUUUGAAUUAUGUUCUUGACUUCUGCCCUAAUAUUAAUAGAAUGUCUAAGCCUUUGCAUGACAGAUUAAAAAAGAAACCUGCUCCUUAGACAGAUGAACAUACAAAAGUUGUUAGAUUAAUAAAGAAUUCUGUAAAAAGUAUCCCAUGUUUAUAUCUUGCUAAUCCUACAUUACCUAAAAUUGUUGAGACUGAUGCAUCUGAUUUAGGUUAUGGAGGCAUAUUAAAGCAAAAGGAAAAUGAUAAAGAACAGAUAGUACAAUAUGUUUCUGCACACUGGAAUGAUUGCCAGAAAAAUUAUUCUACUAUCAAAAAGGAAAUCCUUUCCAUUGUUUUAUGCAUUACAAAAUUUCAAAGUGAUUUAUUAAAUAAAAAAUUUCUACUUAGAAUUGAUUGCAAAGCUGCAAAACAUGUUUUGGAAAAAGAUGUUCAAAAUAUUGCAUCAAAACAGAUUUUUGCACGAUGGCAAGCCAUUUUAAGUGUUUUUGAUUUUGAUAUUGAAUAUAUUAAAGGUGAUACAAAUUUUAUUCCUGAUUUUCUAACUCGGGAAUUUCUUCAAAACAGAUAAUGCCGCCAAAGAAGAAAGACAAAGGUAAAGCUGUUCUUAAAGACUCUGAAUCUAAAGCAAGGAUCACCUAUGAAAUGAAGAGAAAUAGUGAGGAUUAGAGUGGCAACCGCAUCUUGAAUUGGGUUAUUAAACUCAUCCAAAAUGGGUAUUUUAUCCUCAUCGAUUUGUAUGGAAUUUAGAAUAUCUAAUUGUUGCUGUUGGGUGAGAAGAUGAUCCCACCAACCUUUGAGUUGACCUGUAAAACCAGCAAUAAGGAUUUCUGCAAUGGCUUUGUCAGAAGUUCCUGAUUGGGUUUUAUAUGCAUUAGCUGUCAUGGUCAUCUGUUGCAACAAUCCUAAGAUGUUAUACUCAGACAUUCCAUCUAAAUUCCACUCAUAGACAGAGGAUGCAUUAUAUCGAGAUUGGUUUAAUGCACUAGGCCUGUUGUCUGUGGUCAAAUCAGGUGGAGACCUUACAGUGGGAAGGGCUAAUUCCCAAUGGAUUUUAUUGGCUUUAGGAAUAGGUUCUUCCUUAAAGGUGAGUUGAUUACAUUUUCCUUAAAGGUGAGUUGAUUACAUUAAUGACAUUUUCUGUAACAGCAGAAAACGUAGGGGAAGUUGGAGGAGAAGGUUCCUUCUCUUCCUGACUUUGUACAUGUUGAUUACUAGUGUAGAUCAGAUGAGGAACACUAGUGGUGUAAUCAACUUAUCGAAUGGAGGUACUAGGUAUAUCUGAAGUAGAAAACCUAGGUUGACUUUUUAUGGACUGAAAAGGGAGAUUUAUAAUAGAUUUGCUUUGGAACGCGGUUGGUCAAGUUUUAAUAAAGGUACGUGGCGUUGUAUCUAGAUCGAUGCAGAGACAAGUCUGCCUUUGGAACCAGAUCUGACUUAGAACAGAUCAAUAUUCCGCAUGUUCUAGUUUCCAGCCGAUAUACCAAUUAUAUUUAUUUCAAAGCUGGUAAUUACUUAUAAAAUUGGACAAAGCCGACCCAACACAAGCAUUGUUUAAUUUGAGUUUUUAAUAAUUGAUAUUCCAACGAAAGCAUAUAUAUAUAUAUAUAUAUAUUAUAUUAUAUAUUAUGGAUAAGGGCUUUAUAUAUAUAUAUAUAUAUAUAUUAUAUUAUAUAUUAUGGAUAAGGGCUUUAUAUAUAUAUAUAUAUAUAUAUAUAUAUAUAUAUUUUAAAAAAUGUAUAAUAUAUUAUAAAAUUGAAAAAAAAAUUAAACAAAACAAUAAAAAAAUCGGGCAAAGGGAAAGGGCAAAGGUUUUGUCACAAAAUGUCAAAAUUCAUAAAUCGGUAAAUCUCUAUUAGUUUUUUUUUUAUAUUAGUUGUUAAUUUGUAUGUUAUGUACGGUACUUGUAUUGUUAGUAUUUUUAUAUUUUGUGUUGGCUAAUCAUGUAUUAGAGAAUUAUAUUUAAGUUUUUAGCAUAUUGUAGUAUUAUGUAUUGGAUAAUUAUGUUUUGAAAAUUUAUAGUUUUAUUUUUUAAAAAAAAAUUGAAAAUUCGUAAAAGCCCGGGCUCGGCCCGAGGCCCAGCCCAGGCCCGUCAAGGCCCAGCCCGCCCAAAGCCCGCCCAACUUGGAUGGGCUUUGAGAGGGCCUGGACUUAUUUAACAUUAUAUGGGCCUGGUCCUGGGCUUGGCAAAGCCCGGCCCAGGCCUUUAAAUUGCCAACCCUAGUCACACUUGCUCAUAAAGAACCAGAAUCUGUCAAAGAAGCUAUGGAGAAUCCUAAAUGGUUUACAGCCAUGAAGGAUGAGUACAAUGCUCUAAUGAGUAACAAAACAUGGUCUCUGGUUCCUAGAUCAGCUGGUCAGAAAAUUGUUGGCAACAAGUGGGUAUUUAGAGUCAAACAGAAUUCAAAUGGAAGUUUGGCCAAGUAUAAAGCCAGGCUAGUAACUAAGGGGUUUCAGCAGAUUGAAGGGGUUAAUUAUUUUGAGACAUUUAGCCCUGUUGUAAAGUCAGCUACUGUCAGAGUGGUGAUUAGUUUAGCUGUCAUGAAACAAUGGGAGAUAAGGCAAGUCGAUGUAAAUAAUGCUUUUCUUAAUGAAGAGCUGACAGAAGAGGUGUUUAUGGAUCAACCAGCAGGCUUUGUUAAUAAUCAGAAACCAGAUUUUGUGUGCAAACUCCACAAGUCUCUCUAUGGCCUUAAACAAGCUCCAAGGGCCUGGUUACAGUGGGAUUUUAUAAACUCAAGAGCAUACUCUUCUUUAUUAAUAAAGAAAACAAGCAACAUCAUGAUAAUGGUGUUGAUUUAUGUGGAUGAUAUCUUAAUUACAGGUCCAGAUAGUGCAACAUUGGAAACCUUUAUAAUUGAACUGAGCAGAGUCUUUGCCUUGAAUGAUUUGGGUAAUUUGUCUUAUUAUCCAAAGUUCAGCUACUUGAAUGCAAAGGAAUUGAUAUACCUAUGAGCACUAGAAUAAAGCUACAAAAGGAAACUUUAGGUCAUUUUGGUCAAUAUAUUACUGAUCCUACACAUUAUAGAAGCAUUGUGGGGGGAAUGCAGUAUCUGAUCCUAACAAGACCAGAAAUUGCAUUUGUUGUCAACAAGUUAAGCCAGUAUGUUUCCACUCCUACACUGCAACAUUUGGUAGCUUGUAAGAGAGUGCUCAGAUACUUGAAGUCUACUCAAGAUUAUGGACUUAAAUUUGUUCAGCAUGGAGAGAUGAAAAUCACAAGAUUCACUGAUGCAGAUUGGGCCUGUGAUCUUGAUGACAGAAAGUCUGUGGGUGCUUACUGCAUUUACUUGGGAAACAAUCUAAUAUCAUGGUCAUCUAAAAAGCAAUCAGUCAUUGCCAGAUCAAGUGCUGAAAGUGAAUAUAGAGCCUUAGCGUCAACUAGUGCAGAGAUAAGCUGGUUACCAUCUCUGUUUUCUGAAAUUGGUUUAAGCUGUACAGAAACUCCUACUAUCUGGUGUGACAACAUCAGUGCCACUGAAUUAGCUCGCAAUCCUGUUAUCCAUUCGAGAACUAAACAUAUUGAGAUUGACUUACACUUCAUCAGAGACAAAGUGAUUGCUGGAGAGCUGCAAAUUCAGUACAUUCCUAGUGCAGAACAGAUAGCUGAUAUCAUGACCAAGCCUCUCUCAUUUAUUCACUUUAACUACCUUAGAGACAAACUCAAUGUGCAGCUAUAUCCCUUGAGUUUGAGGGGGGCUGUUAAGGAAGCUCAUUGUGCUGAGCUUAUGAAGAAUAGAAAGGUGAAGAAGUCGUUAGUCUCAGCAAGUGAAGUUAGUUAAUCAUGCCAGCUCAGCAGUGCCAAGUCAUCAGAGUUAGUUAUGAAAUAACAAGUCAGCACAAGUUGUUAAAGUCUGUUAUUAGUAAAUCUUGUGUAUAUAACUAAUCUCGUGAGUAUAUAAGUUGUGAUUGAUUCAGUUGUAAAGUGAUUUGACAAAAGUCGAGAUCCAAUGAAAUAAAAAUUUUCUCUGCAACUUUUCUCUCAAAACAAACAGCUCAAGUUUUCUUUCACUUGCAAGUCAGUCAGAUGUUUACGGUUUUGGGAUGGUGUUGUUGGAAAUGGCUGGAGGAAGAAGGAAUUCCAAUAUGAAUGCAACUCGUUCAAGCAAAGCAUAUUUCCCAUCUUGGGUAUAUGACCAAUUAAAUAAGGGAGGUGAUUUAGAGCUUCAGAAUGUUACUGAAAUUGAAUCCAUGAUAGCAAGGAAACUGUGUAUGAUUGGUUUGUGGUGUAUUCAGGUGAAGGCAGCAGAUCGCCCCUCUAUGACAAAAGUUUUGGAGAUGUUAGAAGGGAGUAUUGACAAUUUGCAAAUGCCUCCUAGACCUUUCUUCUCUUCUUCUCGACAUAUCUCUGGAACUGGAAGAGAGAUUGAAUCAGAUUCUUCAGCAGAGUUGUUAGUGUCUGAAUCAAUGGAGGAAUGUUCUUUCAAUGAUAGCUAUGUUUAAUUUUUGCCAAGGAUGAAUGUAAAAUAAAUAAAUAAUAGAUUGCAAUGACAAACGUUCUCUAUCUUCUUCUUGUUUUAUCUCGCAUUGAAACUUAAUGCAUAUAUUUGUGAGUGCAAGCUAGUUUAGUAGUUGAAAUCUCCUACUCAUAUAGGUGGCAAUAGGAUUUAAUUAGACGUGCGCUAUGCUUUAAAAAGAAAAUAAAAGUCUCUCGCAUUGAUUACAAACACUGGAUAGGAGUUGGAAAUUUUAUUCUAUAUUUUUAUCACACAUUGAAAAUUGAUCACAAAAAAACCAAGUCUACACCUUCAUUCAGCCUAUUCUUAUAAUUGUUGUGCACAAAUGUCAUGGAGGACUAGUCUCUUGUGGGGCUGCCAUUGACUUAAAUACAAUGCAUUUUAGCCAUCCAAAUUCCAAAAAUGAGUAUCAUUUGCUCUUUCACAUUAAGAAAUAUAUCCUCAACCAAGAAGGAAGAGUUAUUAAUAUUACACGAAAAAGCAUCCCUAUUUCUCAUUUUCUCCAUGUCACCUGUGCUUAGUUUAAUUCUCUUCCUUCUCUUUCCUUACACAGAAGCCAAAACUUCAGAAGGAAACAACGAUACAAAUAUUUAUGAAUUUUGUCAGCCAACAACAUGCAGCACGAAGGGACCAAAAUAUCAGAUUUCCCUUUAGACUCAAAACUCAACCUAUCUCUUGCGGUCUUGAAGGGUUUGAAUUAUCAUGCUUAAACACCAAGACAGUGUUGCACCUUCCUUCCUCUGGCGAUUAUUAUGUGCAGGACAUUUCUUAUCUUCACAGCAGAAUUACCAUUAUGGAUGUACAUGAGUCCACAUGCCCUUUAAAAACCACCCGAGCGGCUUUGUCAAACUAUGGAUUGACCUAAAAGGGGAGAGCUUAAAUUAAAUAUUUGAAUCUUAUUCUGAUUUUUUUAAAAUAAUUUAUAAGAGUUCAUAAAAAAAAGUUGUAAAUGUGUAAUUUAGAUAAAUAUAAAUACCCAAAUAAAAUUGGGCAAACUUUUAUUUUUCAUGAUGCUUUUUUUUUCCUUUAAAACCAAAAUAAAUUUAGGAUUCAUUUAUGUUUUAAUCACAUGCUUGUUUCAAAAUUUUACUUUCUUACAACGUUUUAUGAUUUUUUUAAAAUGUGCUCGCAUAUUUGUUAAAUUUAAGAAUUAAAGUCCAUGAUAUUAUAUUCAUCUUUAAGUUUCUCGAACAGCUACUUCGGAAGACUAGAAGGAAAAAUAUGAAUAAAAAAACGGAACAGUUCAUGGCUUUAUGCUUCUUUAUGGACUGUGGUUGCCUCAAUGAACAGCCCAAGUGAUUAUUGGGCUUUUAAUUCGGCUCCUAUGAAAAGCCCAAAGCGUCCACGAUGAAGCAGGUCACAGGAGCAGUCCCAAUUUUGAAUCUCUCUCAACUCCUCAAGCGGGGUUUCAUUUUGAAUGCCGCCUUUGGCCUCAUUUCACAAUAUAGAUGUGCAUGCAUGGAGGAUAUAUAUACACUGGGUGUAGUUGUGUAUAUAUAACUUAUAAAGUUAUAAUUAUAUUAUGAGUAUAUCUUUCUAUGUAUGUAUGUAUAUAUGAACAAAUAAAAUAAUAAUUAUACGAAAAUUAACUAGUACCUGAAAAAAGAUCAGUAGAUCACUUCAAUUUUGAGGGCCAAAUAAUGAUGCACGUUGAUGAUGGAAUACAGAGGGCUCAAAGAUUUAAAAUGCGUUUGAUUAAUGGCAUUUUAAUUUAUGUGCUCUCUAUCUUCUAUCAAGAAAAUUUCAAAAAAUUAACGCCCUCUACUUCAAUCAGACCAAACACAUGCACCAAAUACUAAUUAGGAAAAAAAAACAAUCGAUAUGCUUUUGUCUCCACAAUAAUAAAUAGCUGCUGAAUGGCCAUGGAAGCGUGCAUAUCCACAGCGGCACGAAAUUAAAGUACUUGAUAAAUUGUUUACAGUAGCAAGGACUUUGUAUGCAAGAUGCCAAUUAAAUGGUUGCGGGCUCAAAAACAUUAAUUUAUGCAGUGCUUCCCCCUUUUAGGCUAGAGAGAAAUCAAGUCUACAUUACUUUCCCUCAUUUUCUUUUUUGCCUUUGGCAAUAGAUACAUUAUUUUAUUGUUUUUUUAGCACAUUUUCAAUAAGACUACUAUUCCCAUAUCGGUUGCCAAGUUAAAUAGUUAAUCAUUUGAUCAAUAUUUUAUUUUAUGGAUUUGAGUUCGACAUGACGGAUAUUAGAAACCAGUGGGAUACAACAUGACCAACUUUUACAUCAAUACAUACAUUAUACUAAUGCGGCUGUGACAUUUGAAAUAAGCGAUCAUUCGAUUAAAUCCAUUUACGGUAGAACUACAUACCGCAUGAAACGCAACAGGACUCGUUCCAAUGUCACAAAAUUAAUACGAAAACAUUUGAUAGAGAGGAAAUCUCUGCACAAGUGAAUUGCCUUCAUAAAAUAUCAUAGUGGCACUUUGACUCUUGACGGCAAAGAGGGCUGCUCAUAGAACCAAUCUUGAAUCGGAAAUGGAGAGUUCUAAAAACCACAUGAAAAAUUAGCUUACGAAGACACAUCAAAAUGUUGCACCAAGCAUAAGAUUCAAGAUAUCCUUAGCUCGAAUAUGUUGUAUGUAAGUUAAGUGGAAAUAUCAGGACACAUUGAUUUUCUUCCCCUCUGUGUCUAACUAGUAUUAUAUCGUUGGUCUAACUUUUUCCAUCUAUAUCCUGUGUGUGAUGAAUAACAUAUAAAUUGAUCUAAAUUUUUGUCAUAAACUAUACCAUUUGUACUCUUAAUCCACUUGAGAUUAAUGAACGUCGUAUAUGAUUAAAAAAAUUAUUAAUUUCAUCUCUUUUGUUAUUCUAAUAAUCUAUUAUAUGCUGUUAUAUCCCAUGAUCAAACUAUGUAUUCGACAGUUAAUUUUUCAAUAUUAUUUUAUUAUAUAUUUACUUGUUUCCAUAAUCAUAGUCUAAUUAAUGAUUUAUGUUUUUGUUUUUUUGGACUUUGGUGGUCUCAAUACGAAGCCCAACUCAUAUUGGGCAUUUGAAGUUUAAAUCAUUAAAAAGCUCAAUUAGUCCCCUAUCCGCAAGGAUAGACUAAUAUCCUAAUGGCAUAUUAGUGCCGUCACACACGCCUACAACAUAAAAACUUAUCAUGCAUUAUAUUGAACGCAAUUGUGCACACCGGAUCAUAAUUUUAAUUAUAUAUAUCUUUCUUUAUUCAUAAAAAUAAUAAUAAUAACAACAAUAAUAAUUACAACAGCAACCAUAAUUUUUAGAAACGCGUGAACAUGACAUGAGAAGUCCUCAUUCUUCUGCAUGUCGGUCGCUUUAAAAGUGUUGGUGUUGGCGGCCGUUCCAAAUUUCCAAUGCCGCGUUUCUCCAAAUCCUGUUAAAAAAUAAUAAUAAUAAAGUAAGCGAAAGAUAUUGACUGGAAUUGGACUGCAUGGAAACUGUUUCCAAUAAGUUGUAUCGCUGUUAAUAUUGAAGAACGUUUACUAAGAAAUUUGAGGUCAAGCUAGGAUGGGGAUGGAUGGAUCAUCCCAUUCCCACCGAUGCUAACUCAUUUACAAUUACCAGGAAAUUAAGCGACUUCACUUUGCCGUAUUGACUUCCCCUUUGAAAUCUGAAAGCUUCCACCUAAACAAAUCGUGGAAAGAGACUUCAGAAGCUGCGUGGCAUCCGCAUACAAAAUUUACAGUAAGAAACGAAAUUGAACAUGUUUAUCUAGAUUUGUCCCUUUAUCUUCCAUUGCAUUAAUGCUUGAAGCCUAGCACUCAGUAAUUAAAAAUUUUCUUCCAUCGUGUCGAUUUCAUUUUAUGAAUAAUUAAUAUUAUUUUUAAACAAAUUAUUUAGCGCUAAUUAAUUCAAUCACAUAGUUGUAUCCUAAACUAUGAUAAGUUUAUGAAUAAUUAAUAGUAUUUUUAAACAAAUUAUUUAGCGCUAAUUAAUUCAAUCACAUAGUUGUAUACUAAACUAUGAUAAGUUUAAAGCCCGCCUCUCACCGUGCAAGUGAAAAUGUAGAAAACAUAGCGCAUUAACACUUUUAUACCGUUCUACUUAGUUUAUUGAAAUUCGUUAAUUGUAUCCUGGAAUUGGAGGAGCAAUGAGUAGUGACGAAGCUUCAAUUUUCUCAACUUUUCUGUUUUGUCUGUUGAUGUUUGUAUUCAGCCCCAGAGAAAUUGAUGCAAGAAAACUUGAAGUAAAAAUGUGUUCUUCUUCUUGUGGAGAUGUCAAAAACAUAAGCUACCCUUUUCGCCUCAAGGGCGAUCCAGCUGGAUGCGGUCGUCCGGAGUUAGAACUUUCUUGCGAGAGCAACAAAACCAUCUUCGAAUUCAAUUCUGGAAAGUACUAUGUGAAGAGAAUUUCCCAUGAUAAAUGUACAAUCAGUGUUGUCGAUGUUAACUUAGCCUAUGGAAGCUGCAGCUUCCCAUCCACUUCUUUUUCCCCACCUCGUCUCAGUUUCAGAUAUAGUUUUUAUUAUCUUGGUGAUUCAAGGGCCUAUUAUGUGAAUUGCUCGAGUAAUAUUGUUGAUCAGGCGUAUGCGAAAGUUCCAUGUUUGAGUAACAAUCAGUCGAAUGUCUAUGUUUAUGUUGCAUAUAGUUUCUUUGAAACCACACAUCUUCCAGACUCAUGCGCCUUCAUUUCAAAGGUUCCUGUAGUACUUAAUAGGAGCGUGGACAAACUUUCUUAUGAAGACCUCCGAAAAUCGCUGGAGUCAGGGUUCGAUUGGAGCUGGAGCCUCUCAAUGUCUCGCUGUAAGCUUAUGCUUAUAUUUAUUUAUGCAUUCAAAUGCAAGGGCUUUAUUUUUGUUUUCCAAUAUUGUACGUAAUAAAGAAUUUGUGAACUAUCUCUAAGAGCAUACCGAUAUGACCCUUAAUUUCUGUUUCUUUCCACUUUUGCAACAGAUUGCAUCCACAAUGCGGGAGUAGUGGCAAAGAUAAAUUGCCUCUUAUAUUAUAUACGUAAGCAUAUCCUUAUAUAUCUUUUUGAUCAUGUGUUUUCGACGUUAAUAAAUGCGAUGGCUUCAUAUAUUCUCUAAUCUUUACUCUAUAAUUUUUUCUAAAUCAUCUCUCUGAUUAGGAUAAGGCUUUUAUUUUGUUCCCCCCUCUCUCCAAUUGCAGUUUACGGAGUAAUUUACCCAGCAAUCUUUUGGCCUUGCAUAACGUACGCAUCAGGAAUGCGGAAUUGGAUAGCUUUUCUGUUAGGUAAAAUCUCGUCUCCAGGAUCCUCUUUUUAUUGCUUUGUUUACUACUAUUUACUUUCAAAUAACGUUCUCCUUACCAGGGUUUACACUCGAUGUUCUGAAUGUUCUGAUAAUUGGUAGAUUUAUUCUUGCUCCAAUAGUCUUUCUCGUGUUCCUUAUCCACAAAUACAGAACGACAUUGCAAACAGUUGAUAAUAUUGAGAAAUUUCUGCACAACCACCAAUCGUGGAUGCCUAAAAGGUACUCUUACCCUGAGAUAAUUGCCGUGACAAACCACUUCACUCAUAAAUUAGGCCAAGGUGGCUUUGGUUCAGUUUAUAAAGGACAACUUCAUACCGGUCGCUUGAUUGCUGUUAAGAUGCUGGAGAACUCCAAGUUCAGUGCUGAGGAAUUCAUCAACGAAGUUUCAACAAUAGGUAGAAUUCACCACGUUAAUGUGGUCCAGUUAUUGGGGUUCUGUUCUGAGGGAUCCAAACGUGCACUUGUCUACGAGUUUAUGCCUAAUGGAUCACUCGAUAGGCAUAUCUUUCCCAAGGAGAGUAGAGGCCAAUCUUUUAGUUGGGAGAAACUCCACGAAGUUGCUUUAGGAACUGCUCGUGGGAUCGAGUAUUUACACGACGGAUGUGAUGUGUGCAUUCUUCAUUUCGACAUUAAGCCUCACAACAUCCUGCUAGAUCAUAAUUUCAUACCAAAGGUCUCAGAUUUCGGCCUUGCAAAGUUUCAUCCCAAGGAAAAUGAUUUUGUGUCCCUCAGUGCCACAAGAGGAACCAUAGGAUACAUAGCACCUGAGCUGAUUUCAAGGAAUUUUGGAACUGUUUCUUGCAAGUCAGAUGUUUACGGCUUUGGGAUGAUGUUGUUGGAAAUGGCUGGAGGAAGAAGGAAUUCUAAUAUGAAUGCAACUCGUUCAAGCAAAGCAUAUUUCCCAUCUUGGGUAUAUGACCAAUUAAAUAACAGAGGUGAUUUAGAGCUUCGGAAUGUGACUGAAAUCGAGUCCGUGAUUGCAAGGAAACUAUGUAUGAUUGGUUUAUGGUGUAUUCAGGUGAAGCCAGCUGAUCGCCCCUCUAUGACAAAAGUAUUGGAAAUGUUAGAAGGGAGUAUCGACGAUUUGCAAAUGCCUCCGAAACCUUUCUUCUCUUCUUCUCGACAUAUCUCCGGAAGAGAGAUUGAAUCAGAUUCUUCAACAGAGUUCUUAGUGUCUGAAUGGAUUGAGGAAUGUUCUUUCAAUGAUAGUUAUGCUUAGUUUUGGCAAUGAUAUGUGUAAAAAAGAAAUAAAUUGUCCUCGUGCUACCAGAGCUUCUAUAACAUUAUAUUGAAAAAUUUCAGUACGAUUCAUUGUUUGAUGUGAAUAUUCCAAUUUUGCUCGUAUCGACCAGAAUAUGCUGUAGGUUUGUCAUGUGAUCAUGUACAUUCAUCAAACUAUUUGAAACGCUGCUUGCUGCAUCUCUGAUUGAGCUAGAGUAUGCUUUGAACUCUCUGGUCCUGCUGAACUUAAUUUAAAGUACAAUUACCAAAGUAUAUCGUAGACACCUAGCUAUCACCACACAUCCACUUUUACUUAAUAGAUAAUAAUUUCAUCUCACAACAGUGAUUAAUUAAAAGACACAUAGUUCCCAUCAAUCCUAAACACACCCUUGGUCUCCCACUGAUAUAUCAUGGUAAGCGGAGGGUAGCUGCUAGGAAUUACCGGUUUUCUAAAGAACAUUACUUCCUGAUCUUAAAAACAUAAUUUUCUCAUUUCCUACUACAAAUUACUUUCAUAACUCUCACUAAAAUCUAUAUCACAAACAGCAAGUCCCAUCCUGUUCCUCCAUGCAUCUGAUAUUGGCAGAUACUGAAGUUGACUAGUCUCUUUGGGGCUACCAUUGACUUAGAAAAAGGAGAAAAGAGAGAAGGAAAGAACAGAAGAAAUUAAAAGAAACUCAUUUUCCAACCUUUUUCCAUGACAAAUUGACAAUCAAACUCUCCUCUCCCUUAUUACUCCAAAAGCAUAACUCAAACUCUGCUCUAACUCAAACUCCGCUCUCCCUCUCCCUCCAUGUCCCUCGUGAUGAGUUUAAUAAUCCUCUUCCUCUUCUUACCUUACACAUGUACAUUAGCCAAAGCUUCUGCAGAGGACAACAAGACAGAUAAAUAUGAAUUCUGUCAACCAACAAAUUGCAGUAAUAGUAGCCCAAGUAUCAGAUAUCCCUUCAGACUCAAAACUCAGCCAACAUCUUGUGGCCUUGAAGGGUUUGAAUUGUCAUGCUUAAGUGACAAGACAAUCUGGCAUCUUCCUUCCUCCCAGGAUUAUUAUGUCCAAGAAAUUUCUUAUCUGGACAGCAGUAUUACCAUUACAGAUGUGAAUGAGAUGGCAUGCCAGUUUCAAUUUCUUAUCUCUUUCAACCUCACACACUCCAAAUUCUUUUUUCUUCCCUUUAACAAAAGUUACGCUUUAUGUAACUGCACUUCGAAGGCUGCUGUAGAAUUAGAACGGACUUCUGUUGAACUAAUUGCACCGAUCAAUUGUCUUAGCAAUGAAAACAAUUAUGUGUAUGCCAUAUAUAGCAAAUAUUCAAUGGAGGAUAUGCCUCCAUCUUGCAGAAAAUCUGGAACAGUUGAGAUUCCUGGUAGAUUACCUCUGCAGGAUAUUGCAACGACGGCGAGGGCAAGACCAGUAGUCUUAGGAUGGGAAGCUCUUGAUGGAUGCGACGACUGCGAAAAUUCAGGGAAUUAUUGUGGGUUCAACACUACAAGCAAUUCGACAAUCUGCGUUGCCGUUAAACACCAAAAACGUAAGUAACCAAAUCUUUUCUCAGUCACCUCUCUCUACAGUGCUUGAAAGUGAAAGCAUCGUCUCUAUUUAGCUAACAAUAAAAAUAAUAAGUUGAAUUUAUUAUCAUUGUUAUAUAUGCCGGAAAAUUUAUCAGAGCAGUGUAAAUGAAAAGAAAAAAUAAUAAUAAUUAGGCUUUGCAUCAUUUUUUCAAUUGUAAAAGUGUAAUUACAAUUGCUAGAAGUUAAAAAUUAAAGAAGUCAUCUAUAUUAAUAGGGGUGGGCACUGGACAAAGGUUAGAUUUAGUUGAAUUCCGAUGGUGAGUUUUUCAAAAAAUUAACAAUUUGAACUGAACUGAAAAUCCAAUCAAUUUGGUUCGAUUUAGUUAGGGUUUUAUUUUUUUUUUUUCCAUUUGAGCUGUAAUUUCUUUUGUCUUCUCCUACUUUUUUAUUUUUUAUUUUUUAUUUUCUCUCAUUUAAAUCGCUGAUUUUUUUUUUCGAAAAAAAACUGACGAUUCGUUUUUUUGGCUGCAAAUAUAAUUUUACCCACCCCUAAUCUGUACGGCAAAUAUCAUUGCUAUUAAAGGCUACUUCCAGUAUUAGUGUCAGUUGUAGAGUGGUCGAUAAAAUGUUGCUAGCCAGGCUGAUUUGACUGUUUGAAGAAAAACUGAUACUACUCAGGACCAGAUAGAUAGUACUAACUUCUCUAUCUCGUCAAUUUAAUCUUGAAUCUUUAUAUUACAAUUAAUUUUCGUUAAUGGUGAGAGAUUGGUUAAACUCACAAUGCCUGAUAAAAGUUUAAUCUAUUAUAUUUUCUUGCGCCCUCAAUGAAUACAAAUUAAGAAGAAUUAUUAUACUAAUACUUUUUCUCUAUGAUUGUCUUUGUCAACUUUUUAUGUAAGAGCCAAUAUACGUUCAUGAUGGCAAAUUUGUUGAGAAAAAAAUUUUGUUUAAUCAAGUGACCCUCAAUAUUCACAUGGAAUAAGAGACGAGGGAAAAAAAAUCAUUUUGUGAAUGUAGAAAGGCAAAAAAAAAAAAGCAUAAUGACAGGGAUUUCUAAUUGUGAUCAUUUUGGUGCUUUCAUUGUGUACUUGAGUAAAAGUUAAAAUUUUAAAAUUGAAGUGUGUAAGGUAAAAGAGUGUGCUUACUUUGCAGUUCAAAUAAUUUCAUCUUCUGCUUAUUAGUAUUUUUUCAUUAUUUAGUUAAAUGACAACCUAAUUAUCUAUCCACCCGUGUGAAUAAGAUAUAUAAUUAUCAUUUAAGUUAUGAACAAAUACCUAUAUAUGAGAUGGUCACAUGAGAGGGACUUGUUAAAACCCAAUCAAAUAAUAUUGAGUCUUUAUGCUACCAAGUUAAGCUUGCACGGGUCCAAACUUUUAGCAUCUCAUUUUAUUGUUUGAGUUGAUUUUUUAACUAACUUUUAGCAUCUCAUUUUAUUGUAACAGAUGGUCCUGGCCCUUUAUCUAUAAGUCUAAUAUCCACAGGCACAAGCAUUGGAGGCAUCACCCUCUUUGCAUUAGUGAUAUUUCUCAUUUACAGAUCAAGAGAAUCUGAAAAAGAAAAAGAGACUCAACUGAAGGUGGAGAAGUUCCUCGAAAACUACAGGACCGUCAAUCCCACCAGAUAUACUUACAAAGAACUGAAGAAAAUAACAAGCAGAUUUAAGCACAGGCUCGGUCAGGGAGGUUACGGAAGCGUGUUCAGAGGAAAACUCUUCAACGGAAUUCCAGUUGCUGUCAAGAUGUUGGAACAUUUGAAAGGAAAUGGACAAGAGUUCAUCAAUGAAGUGGCCACAAUUGGCAGGAUUCACCACUUCCACAUUGUUCGGCUUCUGGGAUUUUGCUCUGAAGGAAACAGGCGUGCUCUUAUUUACGAGUUUAUGCCCAAUGGAUCACUUGAGAAAUUCAUCUUCUCAAAGACAAAUAGCUCAAGUCAUCGUCAAUUGAGUUGGGAGAAGCUGAGGAAGAUUGCAUUUGGCGUUGCCCGUGGAGUGGAGUACUUACACCAAGGAUGCAACCAAAGGAUCCUGCACUUCGAUAUCAAGCCUCACAAUAUAUUAUUAGACCAUAAUUUUCAUCCGAAGAUUUCAGAUUUUGGACUGGCUAAGUUGUGCUCGAAGGACAUAAGCAUUGUAUCUCUGACAGCUGCCAGAGGCACUUCUGGCUACAUUGCACCUGAACUUUUCUCCAGGAAUUUUGGUGAGAUCUCUUACAAGUCUGAUGUUUACAGUUAUGGAAUGAUGCUGUUAGAGAUGGUCGGAUGCAGAAAAAAUAACGAUCCUGCGGUUGAAAUUCAGAG
rnacentral:lncRNA from 1 species